rnacentral:rRNA from 1 species
UACGUAGGGUGCGAGCGUUAAUCGGAAUUACUGGGCGUAAAGCGUGCGCAGGCGGUUCGUUGUGUCGGCGGUGAAAGCCCCGGGCUUAACCUGGGAAUGGCCGUUGAAACUGGCGAACUGGAGUGUGGCAGAGGGGGGGUGGAAUUCCGCGUGUAGCAGUGAAAUGCGUAGAGAUGCGGAGGAACACCGAUGGCGAAGGCAGCCCCCCCUGGGCGUAACACUGACGCUCAGGCACGAAAGCGUGGGAGCAAACAGG